CAGAGUAGGGCACAAUUUCUCCAGGGCAGCAAUUGCAUGCGAGGCUUCCAGGGCCGGGAAAAUUCCUUCAAACCUGCACAACCUCUUGUAUGCUGCAAGACAAACAGCAUAUUUAAUUCAGGGCCUCUUCAUCUCUAACUGCAUGGAACUCUGCUCGUCCGCUGUCCUUGAGGUAGCUGAGCUCUGGUCCAACCCCUGGACACUCUAAUCUGCAAGUUCAAGGAAAUCAUAAUUCAGUUAUCUUAAAGCUUUGUACUUCAUUUAGUCUGUCCAGUCUAUGUGCAUGUAAUGAUUAUUUAGUAGAUUAUGAGAUUAUUUGUAGGUUUGUCAAGGUUUAUGGAAUAGUCACCCUAUUAGUGUUGUCUAGUCUAUUUAACUUGUAAUGAUGCUGACAUUUGAACCUCCUUAAUGUUGCCACUAUAAUGUUUUGAUAGCAAGCUUGUUUUCUUUCCA